AUUGAACGCUGGCGGCAGGCCUAACACAUGCAAGUCGAACGGUAACAGGAAGCAGCUUGCUGCUUUGCUGACGAGUGGCGGACGGGUGAGUAAUGUCUGGGAAACUGCCUGAUGGAGGGGGAUAACGACUGGAAACGGUAGCUAAUACCGCAUAACGUCGCAAGACCAAAGAGGGGGACCUUCGGGCCUCUUGCCAUCGGAUGUGCCCAGAUGGGAUUAGCUAGUAGGUGGGGUAACGGCUCACCUAGGCGACGAUCCCUAGCUGGUCUGAGAGGAUGACCAGCCACACUGGAACUGAGACACGGUCCAGACUCCUACGGGAGGCAGCAGUGGGGAAUAUUGCACGAUGGGCGCAAGCCUGAUGCAGCCAUGCCGCGUGUAUGAAGAAGGCCUUCGGGUUGUAAAGUACUUUCAGCGGGGAGGAAGGGAGUAAAGUUAAUACCUUUGCUCAUUGACGUUACCCGCAGAAGAAGCACCGGCUAACUCCGUG
rnacentral:rRNA from 1 species